rnacentral:rRNA from 1 species
AAUGAACGCUGGCGGCGCGCCUAAUACAUGCAAGUCGAGCGAGAAGACGUAGCAAUACGUUUGUAAAGCGGCGAACGGGUGAGGAAUACAUGGGUAACCUACCCUCGAGUGGGGAAUAACUAGCCGAAAGGUUAGCUAAUACCGCGUACGCUUCUUGGACUUCGGUUCAGGGAGGAAAGCGAUACCGUGGGUAUCGCGCUCUUGGAUGGGCUCAUGUCCUAUCAGCUUGUUGGGAGGUAACGGCUCACCAAGGCUUCGACGGGUAGCUGGUCUGAGAGGACGAUCAGCCACACUGGCACUGCGACACGGGCCAGACUCCAACGGGAGGCAGCAGUAAGGAAUAUUGCGCAAUGGGCGAAAGCCUGACGCAGCGACGCCGCGUGGGGGA